rnacentral:ribozyme from 1 species
UGAAAGAAGAAAUCCAAAAAGAAAAAGAGAACAGCGAAGUCUUUGUCAUUCCCACAGACCUUUCUGAUUCUUCUAUCAAUUAUUCUUCUCAUCUCUCCCCCUUUCUCAAGCUGGUUGAGGAAAAAAAAUACAGCACUUUGUAUUUGUUCAAUAAUUCUGGAUCUGUUGACCCCAUCUGUCCCAUCCAAGAUUUACACAAUAAAAAAAAUGAAGUCAAUAAUGCUCUCAAUUUGAAUGUUGAGUCGGUUAUUUCCCUCACUUCUGCU